UACGGAGGAUGCAAGCGUUAUCCGGAAUGAUUGGGCGUAAAGCGUCCGCAGGUGGCUAUGUAAGUCUGCUGUUAAAGAGUGAGGCUCAACCUCAUAAGAGCAGUGGAAACUACAUGGCUAGAGUGCGUUCGGGGCAGAGGGAAUUCCUGGUGUAGCGGUGAAAUGCGUAGAGAUCAGGAAGAACACCGGUGGCGAAAGCGCUCUGCUGGGCCAUAACUGACACUCAGGGACGAAAGCUAGGGGAGCGAAUGGG
rnacentral:rRNA from 1 species